CUAAGCUAGUGAAAGUAUGCUCAUCCAGUUUUUAUACCCUUUAAACAACUCUAUAUUUUAAUACAAAAAAUUACUUAAAAUGACUCUAAUUAAUCAUAAAAUGACUAGAUUAACUCAUAUAAUUUUAUAAUUACUAGACUAACUUUUGAAACAUACAAAUUUACUAUUUUGCUCUUACUAAGAUUUAAAACUCUAAUUAAAAAGAAACACAUCUUAAUAUUAACAAAAAAAGGAAAAAGAAAAAAACGUCGAACACCGUUUUCUCCACCAGAGCUAGGAAAGCUCUUCUUGUCGUCUCGUCACCUCCAUCUCCGACGGUCUCUUUUCCGUCCACAACCAGGUUCGUCUCUGUCACCUCUACUGUAACUCAACUUUCUCUCCGGCAUCCUCCACGAUAAUUCACCUUCGUCUAUGUGUUUUUCGGCAAACCCAAAUCGAUUUCACCUCAGUGACAUCUGGAUUCAAUUGCAAGCUACUCUAAUAUCCUUUUAUGAGUGGCAGGCGUGGGAAGAACUCUCUUUGUAUGGUUUUGGAUCUGACAAGAGAGCUUGUGCAUCAGGUUGAGAAUAAAUUCAGGGAAUUUGCUCCAAGCUUGGAUACUAUAUGUCUUUAUGGAGGUACACCGAUCUGACAGCAAGUGCGGGAGCUCAACUAUGGUGUUGAUGUUGCAGUUGGUACUCCAGGUCGUAUCGUCGAUCUGAUCAAAAGGGGAGCUUUGAAUCUAUCAAAGCUUCAGUUUGUGGUUCUUGAUGAAGCUGAUCAGAUGCUUCAGGUUGGAUUUGUGUAGGAUAUGGAAGUUAUAUCGGGGGAUUUGGUUGACUGUUCACCGUCAACUGGAGAGAGCAGCUUUGUUGGUUUUGGAUAACAGAUCUUACUGAGAAGUGUUGCGUGAGUUAUGAUCUGAGCCUGCAAUAAUGGAGGGCUUGGUGACUUGAGAUUUUUAGUAGAGUUUAGUUAUACUAUACAGUAUAAUCUCUUAAAAUUAAUCAUCGAUAGAUUAAUAUCUCUAUAAAUUAAUAUAAUUUCAUAGUCCCAAAUUGA